ACACAGAUUUACUCUCAUAGUUCUGGAGGCCAGAAGUCCAAGACCAAGGUGCUGAUGGGGCCCUGAUCUCUCUGAAGGCUUGAGGGGAGGAUCCAGCCUGGGCCUUUCUCCUGGCCUCGGUGCUGCUGCAGUCCUUGGCAUCCCGUGGCUCGUAGCUGCGACUCUCCAAUCUCUGUCUGUCGUCACAUGGCCUUCUCCCUGUGUCGCUGGUCCACAGAGGGGACUCAGAAACAGUCGUUCCCUCCCUUCCUCCCCAGGCAUCUGAUAUCAGUUAACUACACAUCUCCCUGGCCCCAGCCCUACCGAGGGCAGCAGCAUGCCCUGUCCGUCUCUCUAGGGGAAGGCAGAUCUAAGUGAAUAGGAAUGAACCAAAUACAAUGUGGAGGAUCACCAACUGCAUGAGUCCCCACCAGGGUCCUCCCCUUGGGGCUGCAUUUCCCUCCUUGAACCCCAGAUGCACCUCAGGGAGGGAGGUGGGGACUCUGCUGCUCUGUGGGCAUCUGGAGCGGCAGCCUCCAGCCCCUUGGCUGCAGAACACAUACUUCUUUCUGGCCAGGUCUUCCCUGUCAGAAGCAUACUCAUGGCCUCAUCAUCUCAGCAUAGAAGAAGGGACCCCAGAGUCCCCAUGUACCUCGCUUUGCCAACUGCUGCACCCACAUUAUCUCCUGUACUGCUCUCAGCAAUGCUCCAGGGCAGUGGAUUGCAACUUUGAGAGUGCAUGGAAAUCCCCAGGAGGGCUCCCUCAGCACAGGCUGCUGGCCCCAUCCUAGAGUUCUGGAUUCAGCAGGUCAGGGGCGGACCCAGUGAUUUGUGUCCCUCUCAUGUUGGCAGGUGAUGCCCAUGCUGCUGGCCCAGUAAGGUGGGUGCUAUUAUCUCAUGGUAGAAAUAAAUGGGCAAUAGCAGUUUCGAAGAAGUCAGGUGAUUUGCCCAAAGCCACCUGGUUGCUAAAUGCUGCAUUCACAUGUGUGGUCAUCUCGCUUGGAUUAUGGACCAGUCCCCAGCUGAUCUUCCUGUUGGCCUAUGAGGUCCAAUACAUCAUCUAACCACUCCCCACCCCACACCCUCCCUAGUACCUGGCAUCAUCCCCCACUUCCUGGCCUCUGUGCUCAGAGACCACAGAGCCUCUGCCCUGAAGGAGAAGGAACAGGCUGACAGUGAACACAGCCACUCCAGUGCCAGGCGAGCAGGGUGGGUGCUACAGACAUAGGCACCAGCCAAGAGCUCUGGACACACCUAGGAAAGGGACUACUUCCGGAUAGGAAAGAGCAGAAUUAAGGAGGGCUUCCCAGAGCAGAGUGGAUUCCACGUAAUAUUUGCCUCCACUGCAGCACACCGUUCUAGGUCCAGUCUCCUCCCUGUCCCACUAACCUGGAUAGUCUAGCUCGAGUGCCCACUCUUAACCAGUUCUCUCAAGACCCCCAGGCACCGAAAGGAGGGAGAAAUGAAGGGAGGGUAGGCCGAGGUGGGUGGAGCAUCUGAGUUCAGAAGUUCAAGACCAGCCUGGCCAACAUGGUGAAACCCCAUCUCUACUGAAAAUACAAAAAUUAGCCAGGUGUAGUGGUUGGCGCCUGUAAUCCCACCUACUCAGGAGGCUGAGGCACGAGAAUUGCUUAAACCCAGGAGGCAGAGGUUGCAGUGAUCUAACAUCGCACCACUGUACUCUAGCCUGGGUAAUAAAGACUCAGUCUCAAAAAAAAAAAAAAAAAGAAAAGAAAAGAAAAAGAAAGAAAGAAAAGAAAAGAGGGAGAGGCUCUGUUUCUGGGGUGAGAGCCACUCAAGGGUGCUGCUGCAGGGCAGAGCUCUGGUGCGUAGUGACUUUGCAGCCACUCUGGGAGCCACUGUUGGUUUGCAGGACUGGUGGAGGUUAAACACAGCCUCAAGUUGGAAAGCCAUUCUUCAAUUUCUAAUAAAAAUCCUGAAGUAGGGAUGACGCACAAUAAAUCAGCCUCCACGAGUCCCAUCUCAGGGUAAUCUUUUCAAUUAUCUGCUUGUGAGGUAUGCAGCUCCUGAGAUGAUCAGAAGUGUGCAGCAAGGAUGCCAGCCCUGGCCAGGAGACACCGAACCUGAACCAUGUUUGGCUGAGGGGCCCAGCUGUGGAGCCAAGGGGCCAGAGUUAAAAGGUAGCUGAGCGGUGAGGGUAGAUCAGACCCCCAAGGAGAGGGCUACCAGGAGUGGAAAGAAGAUUGGGGACCAGGUAACAGUCCUUUGGUUCAGAACAGGGACUGGUGCAUCCCAGCAUCUCAGAAAGAUGUCUUUGAGCACCCACUAGUUUCCAGGGGCGAGGCACGGAGCAGAGGUAAGGCCAGGCCACCCACCCCUCUCAUCGUGGAGCCUGCCUUCCAGCAGGGGAGAGGGACAAAAGACACAGGACAGGGAGUGACCGAAAACAGGCCGAGUGAGAUACACAGAAGUGGUCCAGGAAGGCCUUUGUGAAGAUCGCCAUUCAAGCUUCUCCAAUCAGCGCUACCACUUAUGAGCUGGGUGACUUGGAGGAAGUUAGUUAACCUCUCUGAACCCAUGUGAGGGCUCUGCAAAGGAGAGGAGACAUCAGGAUGUGGUGAGGGCUGUGGAAGACAAGGGUGUUUCCCAGUUGAUUGUUAGCUCACUUCUUGUGCCCAAAUACUCCUCCUUCAAAGAGAGGUCGCUGUCUGCUCUGGCUUCCCCUGAUUUCUGAGUGGAACAUAAUUUCUCCUUCCUCUGCUGUGUCCCGUUCUCCGAGACAGCCUGCGAGUUCUACUGUGCAUCACACGGAUUUGGGUUCAUGCCCCCACACCUCUACAAGGCUGAGUGAGAACUAGUUUGGACCAAGAUCCCAGUCUGACUUGGCCCUGUUGGCCUAGCACAGGAUGUGGCUCAGAGACAGACACUCAGCCACGGUCUGCUGCCUGGAUGUGUGGGUGGAGAGACGGGUGGAUGGUGGGUGGGUGAAUGAAAGCCAGGACUUGGGAAAAUAAGAUCAGAAUUAAGGACACGGGGAAAGAGUAGCUUUGCAAGAGAGAAAGAAUAUUUCUCCCUCAAUGACAGAAGAAAUUUACUCCAAGGAAUAGAGGGGCAAUGUGAGCGAACACCUUCAUUCAUCUUUUCCUUUACUUCAACAUGCAUUUGGGCUGUAUGCUGAGCUUUAGGCAUCUUAAGAGACAGGUUUCACGGCUGAACACGAAAUACAACUGAAUAGACAGUUACUAUGUGCUGUGGUCAACACUAUUUUGUGCAGAAAGUUUAGGAGACUCGGAGGACGAUCUGCUGAUCCCCCCGCUGAUUAGUACAAAGAAGGCUGCAGACAGGGCACCCCCAUCACCAGGUGACCCCGCAUUCCCAGCACCUCAGUCCCAGCAGCGAGGUGACUUGGCACCAUUGCUUUGCCACCUUUGGGCAAGCCUGCCCAUGCCCGGGCCUCAGCUCUUGAGCUAAUGCCUGCCUGGGGUUCCCAGGGAACCGCCAUGAGGCAGAUGCUUGCAGAGAUGUGGGAUUUUCCCUGGCUCUGCCAUUUGAUCCACAUGGGGAUGGAAUGACUCCCCCAUCUCAGAGAUGAGGCCAGGAAGCUCAGAAGGUGAACUGUUUUACCCACAGUUACCCAGCUGCAGGGCCAAAGAGCCAAAUUUUUUAUCCAGCACAGGUGAUGCUGAACCCCAAGCCCUUCUCACCAGGCUGGGACGCUGCACUGCGUGGAUGUUCCAUCUCCGUUGCUAGGGUAACCUCCCUCCUGGCCCAGCAGCCACCCCUCCUGGAGCGUGAUUCUUGCACCUGACAGCAUAAUCUUCUGUGACAUCUUAAUCAGCAUCCUGGCAACCGACAGAGCCUGGACACCAGCAUCACACUCAGCACUCUGGGAGCCAGCAGGGCCUGGAGGGACCACCUCCUCCUCAGCCUUAACCCUUGCCUGCCCACCCCAACCCCUGGUGGAAUGGGGGUGGAUGGUGGUUGGUUUUGAAGUCAAACAGAUACUGUUUCAGAUUUAAGCUUUACCAUGGCAUGUUUCUAAACUUCUGUUUCGUAAUCUGUACAGUGGCGAUAAUGAUGCCAGUCCGGCUAGUGUACAAAAUUGGAUGAGGGCAUUGCAAAAGGAUGUGAAUGGGCCACAACAUCUAAAGGAACUGGGGCACCUGGGAGUUUUUGUUUCCGUUAUUUCACUUGGAGCCAGUGGCUUUCAGAGCGGGGGACCAGUGGCACCACAGAGCUCCCUCUUGUAAACAGGAAAAUGAGGGCUUCAGCAGGCAGCUGGAACGACUAUCAUUACAGGGGAGACGGAGUCCAUGGAAGCCCGUAACGGCCCACUGACCUCCUCUGACCAAAGGCUGAGUUGGUAGAAGUGUCAGAAGCAGGGUCCACAUCUCCAGGGCCGCUCUUAGCUCAGAGUCUUUCUGAGGGAAACUGCCUGGCACCAGUCCAUGUUGAAGGGGUCAGCCUAUUGGAACCUGCCCUCUCAGAUAGAAAACCUAGGGAGGGAAACCUGGCCUUCCUGGAAAGACGGAGCCUCUGGAUGACAGACACUGCCACAACUUCCUAGGGGAUGCUCAGCCCACUUUUCACUCCCACAGCCCGGCUCUGGACACUGGGAUAAAAACAGAGUUGCUGUGAAGAUGAAGUAAAUUAAGACAUGCUGAGAACUCAGAACAAUGCUUGGCAACAGUAAUUGUUUAAUGCGUGCUAUUAUUAACAAGUCAUAGUCUUUCCC